rnacentral:lncRNA from 1 species
GACUCGGCCUAGUACUUCUCUAAAUGCUGCCUGGGGCUGGUGGAAUCUCCAGGGCCUGGCUCAUCAGGGUGAGCUGAUGACUUGGGGCCCAGUGCGGCCCACUUUCCCGUUAGCUCAGCCCGGGUCAGCGGGCUGGCUCAACCUUCGGGUUCUGUCCGGGGAAGGGAACAGAACAUUCGGCCCCAGGCAGGAAAGACGUUGCACAGGCCCCUGAGAAGCGAGCCCUGGCCUGUCCCACUCCACUGCCUCUCUUUGUUUGUAGCUCACUUCUCUCCUCCCUCUGACCCUGAGGCUGCCCUCAUCCUGGAAGAUGAUGGGGCUGUCCCGAGGAAUAUAGGCUUAGAGCUGGGGGCAAAUUGAUGGACGAUCUAACAGUACCAAUGUGCUGGACCCACGCUCAAUCACUUAACUGAGCACUUACUCUGUGUCUGUUCCUAUGCUAAAUGAAAAGGUUGAAUUUCACUUACUCUAAAGAAACACCCAACUAUUUCCCAAAUACUCUGUUCUUUGAUGCCGCUCGGCCUUCACAUGGGUUGUUCUUGUUUCAAAUGCCUUUCCUGGUAAGUACUCAACCUUCAGCACCCAGCUCCUCUAUCACCUCCUCUCAAAAGCCUUCCCCAGCUCACCCAAGACAGUAAAACCACAGUCUUUCCUGGGACCCCCAACAUUUAGGCUUGCGCGUCUGUCUCGCACUGCGCCGUGGCACCUCCAAAGCCCAGGCUGGGCUCCAUUCUUCUCUUGAUCCUGGGGGUCCUUCUCCAUGCCCAGCACACAACAGGGGCACUGCAGAUGUUGGCUCCUCCCUUCCCAGUCCCUGGCCACUUCCUUUCCAUCUCUGUAUGCCCCUCGUCCCUUUGUCUGUGUAUCAUAUUUUUGUUUUCAUUCUAAGAACAAUGCUCAUCCUGUUAUAGUUAUUUGUUAAUGUAAGUGGAAUGACACAAAUGAAUCAAUGACAUUUGUCAUUGUCUGGCAGGACACCACACAGGAGGUGUUCAAUUAUUUGCCUAAUAGAAUCCAUGGUCACCUCCAGCAAGAAAUCAUCAGAAUAGGUAGAGAAGGAGAGGAUGAGGCCAGGACAAGGAGGAGAACAGAAGGUGCUGGAACUAACAUUUUCUGACCUAUGUGUGUCAGGCGUGUUUCAUUUAUUUCUCACCAUAAUCCUAUUAUGAUCACCCUUCUUAUGGAUGGAAAAUGAAGGCACAGAGAGGUGAGGUGACUUGCCCAAUAUCACACAGCAAGUGAGUGGCAGAGCUGGGGUUUGAGCCCCGUCUACCAAGCCCCACCCGUUGGACAGGGAAGGUGGAGUGUGCCUGUCGCAGAAGAGUGCGCAGAGAAGCAAGGAGAGACUGCAAGACACUGCAGGGAGAAUGAAUGGGUCAGACCCAGACCCCGGGCUGCACAGUCCCUGCCUUCCAGAUGUUCUCUGUCAUGGCUCCCCGGACAGAUGCCCCCUGGCCCGUAGAACCGCCCCAGACUCCUCCAACACACUUAACCACUUUCCGUGGAGACCACUGUGCUUUUCAAGGAGCUUUUUUCUAAUAUUGACCCCAACCUAUACAGUUCCCUUUCACUCCCUGGACCAGGGUUUGGGUUACCUUAACCCCUCAGGAUUGCACAACGCCCACUGAAGGCUUCAGGAACCCACAACUUCUCAAUAAUGCUGAACUGGGUGAAAUUUCCCAGUAGCCACCUCCUCCGCCUGACUAAUGCUUCUUAGCUUGGCAAUGCAAUGUCCUAUUUUUAAGGAACCCAGUCAUUUGGUUUAGAUUCUUUAUUUGUUUUAUUUUAAUGACCUUCUGAAUCAUUCAUUUUUCUACUUUUGAACUGAUUCACUCUUCGCCACUUCCUUGUAUAGAAAUCCAACCCCUCCUUUAGGGCUCAGCACCAACACCCACCUUCUCCCGAAAAUUAUCCUCAUACCAUCCUCUCUCCAGGAAGAAGUAUUCCCUCCCUCUCCCAUUUCUGUGCCAUUCAUCUGGUAUUUAUUAUAUUGUCAUGGUCAUUAUCAUAAUGAUAAUAAUAAUAAUAAUAAUGAUAUGCCAGCUACUUGGGUCAUUGCUUUUCAUUUUUAUCAUGACCCCAGGAAGAAAGUGAUUAUUAUUUACAUUUUACAGAAAAUGAAACUAAGCCUCAGGGAGUUUAUACCUUUUGCUCAAGGUCACACAAAGUAAGUGAUGCAGCUGAGGUGCUAGCCAGCUGAGCCCAACUCUGAAGCGAGUGUCUUGAAAGGCAGCUGUUUGCAUGGGGUGCCUGGUACUGUGAUGGGGGCUUGGGAUGAUUGCGCUUGGGGCUGUGAUUUUGGUUUUGAUGUCUGUCAACCCCCGCUGGAGACUAUGAGCUCCACGAAGUGUUCUGUUUCCUGUUGCACUGUAAGUAAUCAAUAUCUGGGAGCAAAUAGCUGAUGUUCCAUAGACAUCGACCCAUGGCUGGAGGACUUCCUGUCCUUUCUAUAGUGUUAGCAGCUUGAAGCCUUACACAGUUUUGCAUUUCUUACAACAUCAAGUGCUGGGUAGCAAUCUUGAUCAAUGCUCAUUGAAUGAAGGAAGUAAGGGACAGGCAUGGGCUUGGGGGCUUCCAGUGAGCUUAUUUUCUAGCUGAAAACAUUCGGUAGGAAAUUUUCUAGAAUGAUCUCUAUAGCUCAGGAUGAAUACUGUCAGAUAAGACCUCCUCAUCACUUUUUUCAAGUUAAAGUAACAGAAUUUAUAGACUAAGGGUUCAGUUGAGUUUAGGCAACACACAUUUAUGGAUGUCUACUGUGGGCCAGACGCUUCACUCAAAGACAGCUGUGUGAGCAACCAGCCAGGCAGAGGGCCUUUGGGUGUCCACCCUCGCUCUCACUCCUUCUGGGAGGCAAGCUCCCUAGUGCCCUGAAAACAGGCAGAGUUGGAACCUUGGAAACUGGGGGAGAGAGGGGAUAAUAGCCAUGUCUGGUCAAAGAAGACCAAGCAGUAAAGAUCUCAACCUCGUCUGGGCACGGUGGCUCACGCCUGUAAUCCCAGCACUUUGGGAAGCUGAGGUGGGCGGAUCACAAGGUCAGGAGUUCGAGUCCAGCCUGGCCAACAUGGUGAAACCCCAUCUCUACUAAAAAUACAAAAAUUAGCCAGGCAUGGUGGUGCACGCCUGUAGUCCAGCUACUCGGGAGGCUGAGGCGGGAGAAUUGCUUGAACCCGGGAGGUGGAGGUUGCGGUGAGCCAAGAUGGCACCACUGUACUCCAGCCUGGGUGACAGAGCAAGACUCCGUCUCAAAAAAAAAAAAAAAAAACAAAAAACUCAACCUCCCAAAGGCCCCUGAGAAAGGAAACCAAGCAGCAGUGGGAGACCUGGAGGCUGGCUCAUCUCUCGUGGGGCAUGAAGAGGGCGGGCCUUGGCCACCAAGGGGCCACAGAAGAACUGGAUGAGGUGGAAGAGGUCUAGGAAGGAUAAUAAAAAUGAGAGGCCAGUUGGAGGUGGCACAUGGAGACAAAGAGGUCCCCUUAUCCUUCAAUU